AUCCCACAUAGCAUUUAUGCCAUUAUAAAUAUCUCAAUAAAAGUGCAACUUUAGCCUGCUAGCAUUGAAAGCAUACGAUCCCACCUUCCCUGCAAAUCGCAGUCCAAAGCCACGCCUCCUCCAAAGCACAUGAACGUGUGCACAAUAGUUGUUGAUUCAAAGAAAAGUUAGAUUGUUGAUGUUUGCCUGCUAAUCUCACUCUGUCUGCACAGCGUACAUAUGCAUAAUUAAUGUGCUGAUGAUGAAUGAUGUCUGUGUGUACAGUUUGUUCUGUGGUAUGCAACACAUUGACUGACACGGAACACAUGAGAUCAUUUCAGGACAUAAUGUGAUGACUGAACAAACAUUUUAUGGUCCUACGCCUUCCACAGAUGAUAUUUAUUUAUAAAAAUAAAUUUAGACCACUUAAUAUAGUGAUUGCUAUCAGGUGUGCUAUAAAAACAAACGUUGACUUGACUUAAUUUGAUAUUUUCUUCAAGUAAAGAUUUGAAUAUUUGAAGCACAUAACAACUGCACAUUCAAUACAAUUAAGCACAUUUCUUUUUCACAACGGUAGAAACCUAGAAAUAGUGUCAUAACAGUUCUCAUAAUAAAAAAAAAACUACUUUACUUACAGAUACAUUUGUGAUUUCAACAUUGUCUCUGACAUUUAAAUUCCACUGCACAAAUGAAGUAAGAGUAUUCCAUUGCUCGGAACAAGUCUGAUGAUGUUUUGUUCUCUUCAGGGUGAACUUGGCCUUCCUAGACCGUCUGGGGCGUCAGGAGGUGAGUCGCUCAGAUAGGGUGUCUGAACCCGUGACCCAAACCCCUGAAAACAGAAAUGUCGGGCUGGAUGAUGCUGACGAACCACAGGAUACAGCCUUCUCCCCUGUACCCAACCCAUCAUGGGUCCACACAGACAGUGCAGAGGAGGAUGAUCGUGACCAUAUGUGGACCCUGAUGAAACUUCAGAAUGACUUUCCAUACUACGAGCGAGAAAUGCUGGAAGACAUCGUCAAACAGUGUAAUGGCAAUUACAAUCACGCAUAUGAGCUGCUAAAUGUUUAAAAAAAAUAUAUGUAUACACGUUUUGUUGUUGUGAUGCUGAAUGAUAGCUGAAAAUUCUGCCGUUAUUUACUCGCUCAUUUGUGAGUAAAUUAUGAUUUUUGUGUGAACUGUCCAUUUAAUUAUUGAAUGCGGUGAGCUUAAGCAAAACAUUCUAGUGUCCUUUGAACUGAAACAAAAACGUAUUUUUUAGGUUGUGCAGUUAUUUUUGUUCUGACACAAAAUGGAUUGACACAACCACAGAGAAAAGAAAUCAAAACAAUAAAUCAAGAUUUGAGUCUGCUGUGGGAACGUUUAUGGGUCCCAUGAGUACUAUUCACAGACUAAAUGAUGUAAAUGAUGUGCAUUCACAAAAUCCAGAGGCUGAUUUAUAAUGAGGUAAAGGACUAGAGGAAUUCUGAACUCAUCCACAAUAGGGAAGGACAGUGAAAAACCAAACCAUCAUACAGAUCAUUAGCUUCCUAAAUGCUAUAUAGGCUCCUGCUAGAACUCUG